rnacentral:tRNA from 1 species
GCCGGCGUAGCUCAGGGGCAGAGCAGCUGUCUUGUAAACAGCAGGUCGUCGGUUCGAAUCCGACCGCCGGCU